UACGAAGGGUGCAAGCGUUAAUCGGAAUUACUGGGCGUAAAGGGCGCGUAGGCGGCUUCUCAAGCGUGUGGUGAAAGUCCGGGGCUCAACUCCGGAUCUGCGGUGGGUACGGGCAGACUAGAGUGAUGUAGGGGAGACUGGAAUUCCUGGUGUAGCGGUGAAAUGCGCAGAUAUCAGGAGGAACACCGAUGGCGAAGGCAGGUCUCUGGGCAUUAACUGACGCUGAGGAGCGAAAGCAUGGGGAGCGAACAGG
rnacentral:rRNA from 1 species